rnacentral:rRNA from 1 species
UCCGAAGGGGGCUAUCGUUGCUCGGAAUGACUGGGCGUAAAGGGCGCGUAGGCGGCUUACAUAGUUAGGCGUGAAAUUCCUGGGCUCAACCUGGGGACUGCGUCUAAUACAUGUAGGCUUGAGUGUGAAAGAGGGUCGUGGAAUUUCCAGUGUAGAGGUGAAAUUCGUAGAUAUUGGAAAGAACACCGGUGGCGAAGGCGGCGACCUGGUUCAUUACUGACGCUGAGGCGCGAAAGCGUGGGGAGAAAACAGG